GCAUUGAUAGUAUAGUGGUAGUACAUUAGCUUCCCAAGCUAACGGUCCGGGUUCAAUUCCCGGUCAAUGCA